rnacentral:rRNA from 1 species
CCCAGACUCCUACGGGAGGCAGCAGUGGGGAAUAUUGCACAAUGGGGGGAACCCUGAUGCAGCGACGCCGCGUGGGUGAAGGAGCGUUUCGGCGCGUAAAGCCCUAUCGGCAGGGAAGAAGGAGGACGGUACCUGACUAAGAAGCCCCGGCUAACUACGUGCCAGCAGCCGCGGUAAUACGUAGGGGGCAAGCGUUAUCCGGAUUUACUGGGUGUAAAGGGAGCGUAGACGGCAGUGCAAGUCUGGAGUGAAAGGCGGGGGCUCAACCCCCGGACUGCUCUGGAAACUGUACGGCUGAAGUGCAGGAGAGGUAAGUGGAAUUCCUAGUGUAGCGGUGAAAUGCGUAGAUAUUAGGAGGAACACCAGUGGCGAAGGCGGCUUACUGGACGGUAACUGACGUUGAGGCUCGAAAGCGUGGGGAGCAAACAGGAUUAGAUACCCGAGUACAA